rnacentral:snRNA from 1 species
UUCUAAGAUCCACCGAUA